rnacentral:misc_RNA from 1 species
GUUGAAGAACGUAGCGAAAUGCGAUAAUUAAUGUGAAUUGCAGAAUUCAGUGAAUCAUCGAGUCUUUGAACGCACAUUGCGCCCCCUGGUAUUCCGGGGGGCAUGCCUGUCCGAGCGUCAUUGCUGCCCUCAAGCACGGCUUGUGUGUUGGGCUUCCGUCCCUGGCAACGGGGACGGGCCCAAAAGGCAGUGGCGGCACCAUGUCUGGUCCUCGAGCGUAUGGGGCUUUGUCACCCGCUCCCGUAGGUCCAGCUGGCAGCUAGCCUCGCAACCAAUCUUUUUAACCAGGUUGACCUCGGAUCAGGUAGGGAUACCCGCUGAACUUAAGCAUAUCAAUAAGCGGAGGA